rnacentral:rRNA from 1 species
AUUGAACGCUGGCGGCAGGCUUUACACAUGCAAGUCGAACGAGUGGCGGACGGGUGAGUAAUGACUCGGAACCUGCCGAAUGAAGGGGGAUAACUGACCGAAACGACAGCUAAUACCGCAUACUCUUAGCGCAGCCGAUAUGUGAUUGGCUGGUUGGCGGGGGAAAGGCCCACAAGGGCGACGAUCCGUAGCGGGUCUGAGAGGAUGAUCCGCCACACUGGGACUGAGACACGGCCCAGACUCCUACGGGAGGCAGCAGUGGGGAAUUUUGGACAAUGGGCGCAAGCCUGAUCCAGCCAUGCCGCGUGUGUGAAGAAGGCCUUCGGGUUGUAAAGCACUUUCAGCGGGGAGGCGUUACCCGCAGAAGAAGCACCGGCGAACUCCGUGCCAGCCGCCGCGGUAAUUC